CCGCUAGCUCCUCGUCCUCGUCUCUUCUCCACCAGCCACGUUCCUCAGGGUCAUCCGCCACCAGUCCAAUCGGUAGGUCUCGGGCCAGAAGUGGACGCGGCGAGGGGUGCGAGCGAGCUGUCGUUGGACGACGGUGUAAGGGUGUUCAUGCGAGCCGACUUCAAGUACCAAAACAUGAUAACAGCCUUCGGGCUCGCUUUUACCGGAUGCAACGUUGAGCGAUACAUGAGGAAACAACGUGAGAAGAAAGCAGAGGACGGAUCCACCAUGGAUGCGUUGGUUGGUCUUGCUCUUAAUAUGGAGUAGGGGGUUUUUUCUAGAAUAUUUUUUGAAGUGACGAAUUAGGAGUUUUGGUUCAGCCAGAAACAGGUUGGCAUUGUUGUAUUACCCCGCCUUUAAGUUUUUUUUAAGGGGUCACCACCACACUUUGUUUAAACGACAAUAACAUCCGGUACAAAUAAAACAUCAGGAGUGGUGGAUAACCAGAAA